rnacentral:rRNA from 1 species
UACGGAAGGCAGCAGGGGGAAUAUUGCACAAUGGGCGCAAGCCUGAUGCAGCCAUGCCGCGUGUAUGAAGAAGGCCUUCGGGUUGUAAAGUACUUUCAGUCGUGAGGAAGGUGUUAAGGUUAAUAACCUUAGCAAUUGACGUUAGCGACAGAAGAAGCACCGGCUAACUCCGUGCCAGCAGCCGCGGUAAUACGGAGGGUGCGAGCGUUAAUCGGAAUUACUGGGCGUAAAGGGCACGCAGGCGGUUAAUUAAGUUGGAUGUGAAAUCCCCGGGCUUAACCUGGGAAUGGCAUUCAAGACUGGUUAGCUAGAGUCUUGUAGAGGGGGUAGAAUUCCAUGUGUAGCGGUGAAAUGCGUAGAGAUGUGGAGGAAUACCGGUGGCGAAGGCGGCCCCUGGGACAAAGACUGACGCUCAUGUGCGAAAGCGUGGGGA